UGGGGAAUAUUGGACAAUGGGGGCAACCCUGAUCCAGCCAUGCCGCGUGUGUGAAGAAGGCCUUCGGGUUGUAAAGCACUUUAAGCAGGGAGGAAAGGGUGAUGGCUAAUAUCCAUCAUCAUUGACGUUACCUGCAGAAUAAGCACCGGCUAACUUCGUGCCAGCAGCCGCGGUAAUACGAAGGGUGCAAGCGUUAAUCGGAAUUACUGGGCGUAAAGCGCGCGUAGGCGGUUUGGUAAGUUAGGAGUGAAAGCCCCGGGCUCAACCUGGGAAUUGCUUCUAAAACUGGCGAGCUAGAGUAUGGUAGAGGGUGGUGGAAUUUCCUGUGUAGCGGUGAAAUGCGUAGAUAUAGGAAGGAACAUCAGUGGCGAAGGCGACCACCUGGACUGAUACUGACACUGAGGUGCGAAAGCGUGGGGAGCAAACAGG
rnacentral:rRNA from 1 species